rnacentral:rRNA from 1 species
AACGAACGCUGGCGGCAGGCCUAACACAUGCAAGUCGAGCGCCCCGCAAGGGGAGCGGCGGACGGGUGAGUAACGCGUGGGAACGUGCCCUUUGCUACGGAAUAGCCCCGGGAAACUGGGAGUACUCCCGUAUAAGCCCUACGGGGGAAAGAUUCACAGGCAAAGGAUCGGACCGCGUUGGAUUAGGUAGUUGGUGGGGUAAUGGCCUACCAAGCCGACGAUCCAUAGCUGGUUUGAGAGGAUGAUCAGCCACACUGGGACUGAGACCACGGCCCAGACUCCUACGGGAGGCAGCAGUGGGGAAUCUUAGACAAUGGGCGCAAGCCUGAUCUAGCCAUGCCGCGUGAGCGAUGAAGGCCUUAGGGUUGUAAAGCUCUUUCGUGGGGGAAGAUAAUGACUGUACCCCAAGAAGAAGCCCCGGCUAACUCCGUGCCAGCCGCCGCAGUAACAC